rnacentral:rRNA from 1 species
AUUGAACGCUGGAGGCAGGCCUCACACAUGCAAGUCGAAAGAGUGGCGGACUGGUGAGUAAUGUCUGGGAAACUGCCCGAUGGAGGGGGAUAACUACUGGAAACGGUAGCUAAUACCGCAUAACAUCAGAUGAACACCUAGGGGAUUAGCUUGUAGGUGAGGUAACGGCUCACCUAGGCGACUAUCCCUGUCUGGUCUGAGAGGAGGAUCAGCCACACUGGGAGUGAGACACGGCCCAGACUCUGACGGGAGGAAGCAGUGGGGAAUAUUGCACAAUGUGCGAAAGCCUUAUGAAGCCAUGCCGCGUGUAUGAAGAAGGCCUUCGGGUUGUAAAGGACUUUCAGUCGGGAGGCGUUACCGACAGAAGAAGCACCGGCUAACUCCGUGCCAGCAGCCGCGGUAAUUC